UCAUGAUCAAUUUCUCAUAUUUGCUUCUGAUGGGCUUUGGGAGCACCUCAGCAAUCAAGAUGCUGUUGAUAUAGUUCAAAAUCACCCACGUAAUGUAAGAACUCAAUUUCAGCUCUCAGUUGCUUUUGUUUUUUAAAUUUAUUUUAGAUAAUAUGGUUACAUCAGUAAGCUUCGUGGGAUACAGAUUAACAACAAUGCACUUUGCCUACCACGUAAACUUUGCCUUUUUGUUUGGAGAAUGAAAAUGGACAACAAAGGAAAUACAAGUUACUAGCAAAGAUUGCGGCAUCUCUUGGAACUUCAUUUUGUGAUAUAUGAGCACCAUUUGCAAUGUGGAUUGAUGUACAUGCCUCUUAUAAUCUUCUGAUUUUUUGUUCAAUUCUUCGUUUAUUUACUGAGAUUUUCAAAGUAAUUCUCUGCUCCUUCAGUUCAAGAAAUCUAUAACCUAUAGUUUUGCAAGCUGUUUUAUUUGGUUUAUCUACUUGUUUUCAGGCAAGGCUCUAUGCAUUUUCUAUUUUUUGGUUGCUAUUUUCUAUAUGUUCAUUGAGAUUUGAAUUUCUGUAAGUGCCCGUGUUUAAAAAAUUAUUAUUUUUAUUCCUGUCUAAAUGGAUUGAUUCUAAGCUUUGAGGAAUUUUAUCACUAACAGCAUGUGCUUGCUGUUGUAGGCCAUGUGCCUUCCCUGUAUUUUGCUAUUGUAAAAUGGACAUUCAAUUUGGGGGGUUUUCUAUUAUGUUUUGUAAAUAUAUAAACAAUAUUGGGAUGUUUGACACUGCUGACAUUGUAGGAUCUUAUUAAGCCCCAUAUAAGGAACUAUGAGGAAGAAAUCUGUCAUCAAAUGAUUUCAUACCUGUCUGAAUGCAGGGAAUUGCUAGGAGGCUUGUGAAGGCUGCCCUGCAGGAAGCUGCCAAAAAGAGAGAAAUGAGAUACUCAGAUUUGAAGAAAAUAGACCGCGGUGUCCGCCGCCAUUUCCAUGAUGACAUCACCGUCAUAGUAGUGUUUCUCGAUGCAAAUCUUGUGAGCAGAGCCAGCUCAGUCAAAGGGCCUUCAAUAUCUGUGAGAGGUGGUGGAGUUAACCUGCCUGCAAAAACCCUAGCUCCCUGUGGCACGCCAAUAGAAACUCAGUAGAGCAUGUAUCCACUUGAUAAUGUUUGCCCAUGUGCAGGAUCGUCCUUAGAAUUUCUUUGGUACUAGUUGCCACUAAGAGUGAAAGAGCAAGAGAGGAGAAGGUGUUGCCCUCUGAUUAAUUUUUUCAAAUUUUAACUUGAGUCAUGUAUUUUAUUUAGUUCUUGAGCACAUGAGCUGAAGGGAAAAGAAAGAAAUACGGGAAAAAGAGAGCUACAAUGCAAGGAAGACUCUAAAAGGUUCUUUUUCUUUAGGAAAAAUUUCUUAGACGCAUUCAUUUACUCUCUUUUCCCACCCUCUCUUGGAGUUUCUGCUUGUUGUAAAUUAUGUGAAACAGAUGCCCCUUAGAAUGAAAGUUUAUGUACCUGUUGUGCUUCCAUAUUACAGAGUGGUCCUCUUGAAUGUUGGGAAAUCUUUUCUUUUUCAUUUUUUUUAGGGUGUGAAACAUUUGUUCUGUAUUUUUCCUGUGCAAAAUCGAGAAUUUUGUACCGAAUACCAAAGAUUGAAGAACACCGCAUGUUCCAAAAUGUCAAUAUUUUCUCUUAUCUCUGGGGAGUGUGGAAGAUUGUUAAGGUUUAAUGUUGAGAUUUGGGUUGUGUCCG
rnacentral:misc_RNA from 1 species